rnacentral:lncRNA from 1 species
AGAAACCAGCCAAUACAACAUAUAGUCAAGUAAAAAAAAGUCACACCGUAUAGCUAGCUAGGUUUAACUAUAUGUAUGUGGGAAGCACGUCAUCGUGAUUCUUUUAUAGAGAAAAAAAACAUAGAGAGAACUAAUAAUUUAUAUGCAAAUAUAAUUGCACCCUAAUUGAGUAAAAAAAAAUUAAAAAUUGCAUCCUAAUUAUUUUUAGGGUAAUCAAAAUAUAUUCAGUGGAUUCUUGGAAGGAGAUUAAUCUAUCUUUUAA